UUUAUGGAGAGUUUGAUCCUGGCUCAGGACGAACGCUGGCGGCGUGCCUAAUACAUGCAAGUCGAGCGGACUAAUGGG
rnacentral:rRNA from 1 species